AACGCGAAGAACCUUACCUGGGUUUGACAUGGAUCGGGAGUGCUCAGAGAUGGGUGUGCCUCUUUUGGGGUCGGUUCACAGGUGGUGCAUGGCUGUCGUCAGCUCGUGUCGUGAGAUGUUGGGUUAAGUCCCGCAACGAGCGCAACCCUUGUUCACUGUUGCCAGCACGUUAUGGUGGGGACUCAGUGGAGACCGCCGGGGUCAACUCGGAGGAAGGUGGGGAUGACGUCAAGUCAUCAUGCCCCUUAUGUCCAGGGCUUCACGCAUGCUACAAUGGCUGGUACAGAGAGUGGCGAGCCUGUGAGGGUGAGCGAAUCUCGGAAAGCCGGUCUCAGUUCGGAUUGGGGUCUGCAACUCGACCUCAUGAAGUCGGAGUCGCUAGUAAUCGCAGAUCAGCACGC
rnacentral:rRNA from 1 species